rnacentral:lncRNA from 1 species
AAACCGGAUGCCAUAAUCCCCUCCCAGUGCAGAAUGGACAUCGUCCCAGUACAGACUGGGACCCUUUUUUAGUACAAACUGGUUCCCCUGGCCUCUCCCAGUACAGACUGGGCCCAUUCCCAGUACCAAGUGGAACUUCUGAAGCCCUCCCAGUUCAGAAUGUGGCCUGUCCCAGUACAAACUGUUCUCCUUGGUCCCAUCCCAGUACAGACUGGGCCACUUCCCAGUAUGAAAUGGAUCUCCCAGUGCUUCCCAGUACAAACUGGGUCCCCUGUGCAUUCCCAGUCCAGACUGGGCCCUUCCCAGUACAAACUGCACUCCUUGGUCCAGUCCCAGUACAGACUGGGCCCUUCCCAGUACAAACUGCUCGCCUUGGUCCAGUCCCAGUACAGACUGGGCCCUUCCCAGUACCAACUGCUCUCCUUGGUCCAGUCCCAGUACAGACUGGGCCACUUCCCAGUCAGAACUGGACCCCUUUAUCCACUCCCAGUACAGACUGGGCCGCCUCCCAGUAGAAACUGGAUUUCCAGUGCCCUCCCAGUACAGACCUUUCCCCGUCCCAGUACAAGCUGCUUCCCUCGGACCAGUUCCACUACAGACUGGGCCACCUCCAGGCCGGAACUGGAUGCCCCGGCCCUCUCCCAGUAUAGACUGGGCCUUGUCCCAGUACAAACUGGAUCCCUUUAACCCCUCCCAGGAGAGACUGGCCCACUUCCCAGUCCAAACUGGAUGCCCACAUCUCCUCCCAGUCCAGAACGCGGUGGGUCCCAGUCCACCCUGAUCCCCUCCCAGUACAGACUGGGCGUCCUCCCAGUCCAAAGAGGAUCCUUGGAUCUCAUCCCAGUCCAGGCUUGGCCCAUCCCAGUACAAACUGGAUCAUCUUCCUCACCCCCCCACCUCCUCCCAGUACAGACCAGGCUUCUUCCCAGGACUAACUGGUUCUCCUGGUCCCUUCCAGUACAGGCUGAGCCCCCCCCCAGUACAAACUGGAUCAUCUUCCUCACCCCCCCGCCUCCUCCCAGUACAGACCAGGCUUCUUCCCAGUACUAACUGGUUCUCCUGGUCCCUUCCAGUACAGGCUGAGCCCCCUCCCAGUACAAACUGGAUCAUCUUCCUCACUCCCAGUACAGACCAGGCUUCUUCCCAGUACUAACUGGUUCUCCUGGUCCCUUCCAGUACAGGCUGAGCCCCCUCCCAGUACAAACUGGAUGACCCAGUGCCUCCCAGUCCAAACUGGAGUCAGCCCCUGUACCCCCGGCUUUCCCAGUACGGAGGGGAAACCCAGUUAAAACUUGAAUUUAUGGGCAGUAUCCUCGGAUUUUACUAAUUUGGGAAUAAAUAAAGAUAAUUGUUGGUCCCGGUUUGGGUU